rnacentral:rRNA from 1 species
AACUAACGCUGGCGGCGCGUCUUAAACAUGCAAGUCGAACGGUAGUCCUUGAGCUUGCUUAGGGAUGAGAGUGGCGAACGGGUGAGUAACACGUGGAUAAUCUGCCUCCGGGUUGGGAUAACUGUCCGAAAGGAUAGCUAAUACCGAAUGAGAUGGCGGUUACAUAAGUAGCAGCCAUUAAAAGGUGGGGACCGCAAGGCCUACUGCCUGGAGAUGAGUCCGCGGCUGAUUAGCUAGUUGGUGGGGUAACGGCCUACCAAGGCGACGAUCAGUAGCCGGCCUGAGAGGGUGAACGGCCACAUUGGGACUGAGAUACGGCCCAGACUCCUACGGGAGGCAGCAGUUAAGAAUCUUGCACAAUGGGCGCAAGCCUGAUGCAGCGACGCCGCGUGAAUGAUGAA